GAUGAACGCUGGCGGCGUGCCUAACACAUGCAAGCCGAACGGAGAUUACGGACGGAAGUUUUCGGAUGGAAGCCUGUAAUUCUUAGUGGCGGACGGGUGAGUAACGCGUGGGCAACCUGCCCUAUACAGGGGGAUAGCAGCUGGAAACGGCUGGUAAGACCGCAUAAGUCGGUUAAAUCGCAUGAUUUGAUCGGGAAAUGAGCAAUCAGGUAUAGGAUGGGCCCGCGUCCGAUUAGCCAGUUGGCAGGGUAAAAGCCUACCAAAGCGACGAUCGGUAGCCGGACUGAGAGGUCGGACGGCCACAUUGGGACUGAGACACGGCCCAAACUCCUACGGGAGGCAGCAGUGGGGGAUAUUGCACAAUGGAGGAAACUCUGAUGCAGCGACGCCGCGUGAGUGAAGAAGUAUUUCGGUAUGUAAAGCUCUAUCAGCAGGGAAGAUGAUGACGGUACCUGACUAAGAAGCCCCGGCUAACUACGUG
rnacentral:rRNA from 1 species